rnacentral:tRNA from 1 species
GGCACUUUGGCGGAGUGGUUAACGCGAUGCCCUGCUAUGAGCUAAGUAAUUAGUGUAGCGUAGGCAUUCCCUUCGGGGGCGUGUGUUCGAAUCACACAGGUGUCG